UCAGCUGUGAGCUCCAAGUCCUCCCAUCUGAGAGAGCUGGACCUGAGCUACAAUCAUCCAGGAGACUCAGGAGUGGAGAAGCUGUUUGCUGAUGUGGAGGAUCCACAGUGCAGUCUGAAGACUCUCUGGUAUGGACACACAACAGAAGCUCAUCAUGGAGACUGAGAUUAUCUUCAAAAUGUCUCUGCUUAUUGUAUACAAUGAUUUUUGUGACACAAGUACCAAGAAAACCUGAACCAACGGAACGGAAAAGGAGAGAUUUUGGCAAUAAAAGAAACUUUUUGGAGCUGGAAACCGAUCUUGUCAGGUCUGAGGUGGAGGGUGGACCAUGGUGGAGAGCAGAGGUUAAAACCUGGUCCGAGGAAGUAUUUCUCUCAACUUGAACUGGACACAAACACAAUGAGCAGAAAACUCAAACUG